UCAGCGCAAAGUGCUCUGGCGCUGUCUUCGAGAGAUCUGGCAUCAAAGGAAGACUCUGCCAAGGAGGCUCGGCACCAAUCCCAAUCGCCAGCGCAGAAGAAGACAGGAAGAGGCCGAUUUCUCUCAGCAAGAUCCAGGAACUAGCCAUCAGUGGCACCUCAGUCAGGCCAUGACUCUGAGGCUCAGAGUGGGGCUAUGUCGUCUGCUGACCAAGUGAGGCAGACAAGUCCGGGCCUGUCGUGCUUGCCGAAGCCCUCUUGUCCUCCCAAUCGAGCCCUGGCUGGAGGGCCGAAUUACGGGAAGAGCAACCACCACAGUGACAGAGUGACCAUCAGCAAGGGGCACUAGACUGAAAGACAGCUGCUACUCCAUGCCUGGCCCUGAGGAAGUACUCCAUCAAUCCGCUAGCUACCCCUCAAAGCUCUCACUGUCACUCGGAGAGGUAGGAGGGAGAGCACUGUCAGCACUGAGCAACAGAGAUCGUCAAAAGGAAAGUAACAUGGAAAUAAAAUACACUUGAAAAGAGACUCACGUUGGUUAAGCAGAG